rnacentral:lncRNA from 1 species
AAAAAUAUCCGUCUGGAGGAGUUUUUGCCUUUGUUUCUUCUGGUGAAGGAGCAGAUGGGCAGGAGCUUCAGCUCCUCUCCUUAUCCCAAGGGACCAUCCUCGGGGGGAAAAAGAAGCAGGAUGCUCUUUAAAGUUGGUAAAUAAGAUCUCAAUUUGAAUCCACCUCUGUUGAUACGAGUCUGCUGAGAAGAUGAAAAUCAGUCGUUUGCCUGGAGCCACCACUGUCCCAGGCAGGGUCUGUGUGGAGGAGGCUCGGGGUGCAGCGCUGCUAUUUAUACAGCACCGGGAAGCGCUGCGAGGUUGUGCUUGGCGGGGUGAAGAGCUUGUGAUCUCGGAGCACUUUGGGAUGUCAGACACUCCUGAGUUCUGCUUCGUGUGGCAGGAAAAGACUUCAGGAUGUUCCCUUCGUUUUGUGGUGUGGCAGAGCAGGGAAAAUUCACCCAAUGAUGGGCACUGCUAG